rnacentral:rRNA from 1 species
UCCUCUUGUUUUUCCCGCCUAUAUACCGCCGUCGUCAGCUUACCCUGUGAAGGUCAAACAGUAAGCAAAAUUGGCACAGCCCAAAACGUCAGGUCGAGGUGUAGCGAACGAGAGGGGAAGAAAUGGGCUACAUUUACUGAACCAGUAUACACGGACAUUGUACUGAAAAAGCAUUUAAAGGAGGAUUUAGCAGUAAGGGGAGAGUAGAGCGCCCCCCUGAAAACGGCCCUGAAGCGCGUACACACCGCCCGUCACUCUCCCCGAAAGCCUAUUUUACUUUAACUAAAAAGCUAGCCAAGAAAAGGGGAGGCAAGUCGUAACAUGGUAAGUGUACCGGAAGGUGCACUUGGAAAAACC